GUCGAACGAGCGAGAGGAGGUUUACUUUCUCAAGCGAGUGGCGAACGGGUGAGUAACGCGUGAGGAACCUGCCUCAAAGAGGGGGACAACAGUUGGAAACGACUGCUAAUACCGCAUAAGCCCACGACCCGGCAUCGGGUAGAGGGAAAAGGAGCAAUCCGCUUUGAGAUGGCCUCGCGUCCGAUUAGCUAGUUGGUGAGGUAAUGGCCCACCAAGGCGACGAUCGGUAGCCGGACUGAGAGGUUGAACGGCCGCAUUGGGACUGAGACACGGCCCAGACUCCUACGGGAGGCAGCAGUGGGGAAUAUUGCACAAUGGGGGAAACCCUGAUGCAGCGACGCCGCGUGGAGGAAGAAGGUCUUCGGAUUGUAAACUCCUGUUGUUGAGGAAGAUAAUGACGGUACUCAACAAGGAAGUGACGGCUAACUACGUGCCAGCAGCCGCGGUAAAACGUAGGUCACAAGCGUUGUCCGGAAUUACUGGGUGUAAAGGGAGCGCAGGCGGGAAGACAAGUUGGAAGUGAAAUCCAUGGGCUCAACCCAUGAACUGCUUUCAAAACUGGUUUUCUUGAGUAGUGCAGAGGUAGGCGGAAUUCCCGGUGUAGCGGUGGAAUGCGUAGAUAUCGGGAGGAACACCAGUGGCGAAGGCGGCCUACUGGGCACCAACUGACGCUGAGGC
rnacentral:rRNA from 1 species